UUGGAAUUGAGUCUCGUCUGUAACUCCCCAAGCAGUUGUCACUGUUGAUGGAUUAUAUAUUUAACAGGUAUGUGUGCAUUGGAAGAGACAGGGAGAGACCAUCAUGAUACCAUUCCACCAUCUGUGGCGCUUCCCCCAGUGCGUUAGUGCUCUCAUGUGGUAUCAGGGCUCAGGCGCAGGGCCUCGCUUAUGGCGAAAUAUCACACUUUACCAGCCACCAGGUUUCAGAUGUUACCAUGAUGUCAACCUGACUUCCCUGGGCAGACAACCCCACCAAUGUGUCCUGGAGCCCCGCUUCCUGAGAGU